UCCAGUGUUUGGUCCAUCUGUCUCUUUUGUCGAGGUAUGGUUGUAAGACGGUCUCUGCUUGUCGGUUGUUGUUUGUGGUGACGUUGGUUUCUAUGUCGUCAGUAAAUAGGGAUGUUUUGAUGCCGGCUUCUGGUAGUGGGAAUUCGGCAAUCAUGAUGUUAAAAAGUAUCAGGCUCAAGAAGCAUCCUUGGGGGGCUCCUCUAUUAAGGUAUCUUUCUUCGGACACCUUGAUUUCCAUUCUGACAGUAAUUCUUCUGUCAGUAAGAAAGUUUUGGAGCCAUUUUAGCAGGCCUUUUUCAGAUCCAGAAAUACUGCUGUGGUAGAUUUCUUCUCGUUGAAUCCGCUGGUGGUUGCGGAUUCAAGGCGAACUAUGUUAUCGUUGGUUGUGCACCCACUUCUGAAGCCUGUUUGGAAAUUUGAGGCAUGAGGUCAGUCAUAUUUGCCUGUACGAGUCGGUAUCUUCUAUAGGUUUGUUUGGCUUUAGGAUUUGUAUCUCAACGGCAGUUUUCCAGUCGGUAGGUAUGUAUCCUUGGUCAAGUGAUUUGUUGAGUAGGUGUAGUGAAGCUUUGAGGUUGCUAUCGUUCAGGUUGCUGAUCAUUUUGUUGUGGACUCUGUCCUUUCCCAUGGCCUUGCAUCUUAGGUAUUUUAAGUUUCUUCUGAGUUCCACUUCCGUUAUAGUUGAGUUGAGUGGGUAGGCUUGCUGGUCGUUUAUUGCAUCCUGGAUAAUCUGCUUGUACAGUUUUGUUCGGUCGUCACUCUUCUCUCUUCUUCCUCUUGGGCAGAAUUGGGCCAGUUAUGAGUUCGACAUUUACGUUUUUGAGUGGCUUGCUGGAGAACGUGUUUUGAGGAGAGUUCAUGACGUUUUUUUUUUAUUCUCCAGAGUGCGUGAUUGUUUCUUGCUCACUCAACGCUGUUAUGUAUUGGUCCCAUGAAUGGUUUUGGCAGUCAUGAUGGUUUUCUCUUUGAUGGCUUCCAUUUUAUUGAGAGCGGUUUUGUCAGAUGGGAGUAGUAUUUUCCGCCAAGUGUGGUGUGCUUUACGCGCUGCUCCGGUGGCUUUUUUGCAGAGUGGUGCCCAUUAUGCUUUGUUUGAUUCUUUUAUGUUGGUGUAGGGGGAAAAGUGUUUGGUCGUAGUUUUGAUAAUGGCCAAGUAGAAGAUGUACGCUACGUCUGUUUCUUGGGUUGUCAUUAUGUUUUUUUCUCUUAAUUUCUUUGCUAGUUCAUUAUUCCACUCUUCCCAGUUUUUGUCUGAAAAUUUCCAAUAGUUGUUGUUUGUGAUGGUGGGUGACGAAUUGAUGUGUAUUUAGAUGAUGAUGAUGGGGGGGGGGGUGGUCACUGCCCCUGUAGGGCACAGUUGUCAUGGAUGUUAGGUGUGCGAUGGCCGAUGAGGCAAAGGUGAGGUGUAUUGUGGAGCUUCGGUUUACGUUGGGGUUGGACCACGUACCUAGGUUUUUGGGGGUACAUAGGGUGAGCUUUUCUUCAUUUAUCAGGAUAUUAGUUAUGAUACGUCCACACUUGUUUUGAGGGUGUUGGUCAUCCCAGAUAGGUGAGUGUGCAUUUAUAUCUCCACCUAGUAUAAGGCUAUUGCUGGAUGAGUUGAUAAUGUCCAUUUCUUCUGCACUGGUUUCCAUCUGGGCAGUAUAUGGAGAGGACGUCAAUUAAUUCGUUGUUUUUUAAAUUUUACAGUUAUCCCGAUGGCUUCCAUUUCUCCGGGGGCUGGUAUAGGGUCAGAGGAGUGGCCUGUUUGUUAUUUUUAAUUAGGAUGGCGACACCUCCACCUUGAUUUUGGCGGUUCAGGUAAUGAGUGUGGUAUGCUGAGAAUUUCGGUAUGAAGUUAUCGUUCCAGAAUGUUUCACUUCGUAGAAUAAUGUGUGCGUUGGUGAUUUUAAUAUUAUAUCUCAAUUCUUGCAAUUUAUAUUUAUAAAGGCUUCUUGCGUUCCAUUGUGUAAUUUUUAACGGUCUUGUCAUUUCUUGUUUAUUGUUGUUGCUCGGCGGUCUAUCGUAUUUGGUGGUUUUGGUGGUGGGCGUUCACUAUUGUUCAGUUUGAGGCUUUCCUUUACCAAAUUCAUAAGGGUUUCUAGUUGGUUAUGCGUGGCUUCAAAGUCGGAAUGCAUGUUUUUUUGUAGGUUAUUGACUUUUUCUGGGUGAUUAUCUAGUGAAGCAAUUUUUUUCUUCAUAUUUUCGACAGUAGUUUCGAGGGCUGUAAAUCUGGCUUCUGUCUGUUAAGGUGGUUGGUGGUUUUUGAGAAGAGUGAUUUGGGAUCUUAGGUAGUUGAUUUCUUGUUUGAUGUUGUCCAGGUCGAUAUAAUUUUUGUCAGUUGGGGCCAUGUUCGGUAUGCAGAUCGGUUUCAUGCCUUGCGGUUUGCUGAGAAGCUUGCUGUCUUCUCGUAUAGGAAUUUUGUUUUCAUAGGCGAACCUAAUUAUCUGCUGUUUGUUCUGAAAGAUGGGGCAUUCUGUUGUUCCAGCUGCAUGUCCAGGUUUUCCGCAUGAGGGGCAUUUAGAUGGGUUAGGGCAGGCUGGUUCGAGCGGUCGAAGUGAGCAAUAUUUUCAAGUCUGUUUUGUUUUGCAGGAUUCCUCAUGAUAGACAAAGUUCCAUCAUAUUCUGCAGAGUAAUGGUCGUGGGAUAAAUUGUUUAACAGGGAAUAUUUCGUGGGCUACUACUACUUCCCGCGGGAGAGAUGAUGUGCUGAAGAAGAAUGUGACCAUUUUGGUUGGUACUUUUGUCCCAUCAUCUGUUAUGGUUGAGAAUCUUUGUGUUUUGGUGACUCCCUGGUCUGUCAGAAGUUCUGCAAGCUCUUCGUCUAAGUUGUUGAUCGGUACAUUUCGUAUGAUGCCCCUUAUUUUGGAUUCGGACAUGGCUGUGAUAAUAUGAUGAUGUGUAAUAUGUUGAGAUUCGACAAACACAACCUUCACCGAGUGACCGCUAGAUGGCUCUAGUUGCACUCGUUCUGUGCUUAAUAAAAGCAAGUCCCCGGCCUUUGGGUUGUAGCCUCUCUCCCCCUUCUCUUCUCCAUUUUUCCUUAUUCUGCUUCUGACCACGUUUAGUGAACGAACACGAAGUUUUUCACUCUCUGCAGAAUUAUCUAAAUUUUCCUCUUUAUUUUGUGUGCUCCAUUCAAUCUUCAACACUGGUAAUUAUUGUAACUGCUAUCUUGAUAAUUUGUCAUGGCACAUUAUAUAUAUAUGUAUGUUUAUUGUAUGAUGGGAAAAGUUAUCGUUUCAUAAUUCUUUUUACCUCUCUUGGUCAUUACGCAUGGACGUUAUCGUCACACAUUUCAUUAUUUUUCAUUAUCGUAUGUAUAUAUGUAAAUGUGCCAUGCUCUGUUCCAGAUUUUUCUGUUCUCUUUCCUCCACUAGACGGAGUGUUCAUUUACCUGGUUAUACCAGAAGCUCCACAUGCUGGAAUGUUUGAUUUUCUUUUUUUCCUGGUUUGACCAGAAGCUCCACAUGCUGGAAUGUUUGAUUUUCUUUUUUUCCUGGUUUGACCAGAAGCUCCACAUGCUGGAAUGUUUGAUAUUCCCUGUUUUCAUAUACAGAAGCCUCUCAUAUUCAUUCUUGUUUAUUUGUAUAUUUCAACAUAAUAGAUUUGGAAUUCUUGCACUGAUUUCAGUUCUGAGAGCUGUUUUUCUGUCCGUUGGACAUCGGGUAGAUAUUGAGGUCACCCCGAACAACAUUUUUCACAAUUUUCUACAGUUAGUUAAAUACUCUCCGUAGCUGGGCAACGUUCUCAACCAAAAACUCCGCUGCAUCCUUAGUUGUAGCUGCUGCUAAUGCUCUCGUCUCACCCACUUUGAUAGAUAGUCCAAAAAGCAAAGCUUUAAGAUAUCUUACCUACGUAUGUCCAGGUGGAAUUUAUAUCCGUAGUUUAAUCCUUUGUUGGCCUACCGUGCGCAAAGCUUUCAAACGGCGUGUUGGGUCUUGUUCCAAUACCAUAAUUGCUUUUUUCCAUUGUGGGACGGAUUUCUGCCCCUAACGGAUCCUUCCUAAAUUUUCAGUGAGUGUAACUAUAAACACGAUAGAGGUUAGGUGAUUUUGUAAAAAUUGCUGAUAAAUCUUCUAUAAUAUGAACACAGACCAACGAAACUUAUUGCUUGUUUGAUUUUCUGAGCUUCAGUCCCAUUGGAAGGUUGCCUAAUAAAUUCACGGACUCCGCGAAUAUUCUCCGGGGCCAGAGUGAUUCCAUCCUUAUCAACUUCGUCUCGUAGCGCUUGUAACCUUGUUUGCUCAAAAAAACAUUUCUUAGGUUUCACCAUCAGAUUUGCCCUCUAAGAAACUCCAAACCCACUUUGGAGACUCCCCACGUGUUCUUCCACCGUUCGGGAAUAAAAAAUUCAAAUUCCAAUCCAUAGGGAACCAGAUCCAGCAUUCUUUGAAACGUUCCGGGCGAGGAGUACAGACCAAGCGCCAUCACCUUAAACAGAGCUGCCAGGUCCCGUCCUUCUUGCGCACUAGAACCAUCGGUGAAUUCCAUACCCCAUUGCAACUUUCGAUGACUCCGGCAUUUUCCAUCUCCUGGGCAAGCAUCCGAAUAAGUUCCCGCUCUUUCCACUAGCUUUGUAGAGGCUUUGUCGGAUUGGACGGGAGUUUUCUGUCUUCAUCGUUUGCUCAACCACAUUGCACACGCCGAGUUUGUCGUUGUCCAAAGCGAAGCAAUCCUCAAAUUAUUUCAACCAUUCCACAAUCCUGUCAAGUUCCUCCACCUCAAUCUCCGUCGAUGCAUACUCUUGCGAACUCUUUCCGGCAUCCUUUUUGGUUUUCCGAUCCCAUGAAUGCCACUACUUUCCCUACGUUAGUCAUUUUCUAUCCUGACACGGUGAUUUCCUCUAGCUUGACUAAGACCAUGUUUCUAGGAAUAUGCAUGUUUAUGUAUCAUGUACUGUAUCCUGUACUGCGAUCUAAUAUAUUUGUCACAAG